UUGGAGGGCAAGUCUGGUGCCAGCAGCCGCGGUAAUUCCAGCUCCAAUAGCGUAUAUUAAAGUUGUUGCAGUUAAAAAGCUCGUAGUUGAAUUUCGGGAUCAGUACGCUGGUCGUGCCUUGGUAUGCACUGGUGUCACUGAUUCCUCCCUUCUGAAGAACCGUUAUGCCAUUUAUUUGGUGUGAUGGGGAAUCAGGACUGUUACUUUGAAAAAAUUAGAGUGUUUAAAGCAGGCUCGCGCUUGAAUACAUUAGCAUGGAAUAAUGAAAUAGGACGUUUGAUCUUAUUUUGUUGGUUUCUAGGAUCGACGUAAUGAUUAAUAGGGAUAGUUGGGGGCAUUAGUAUUCAAUUGUCAGAGGUGAAAUUCUUGGAUUUAUUGAAGACUAACUACUGCGAAAGCAUUUGCCAAGGAUGUUUUCAUUAAUCAAGAACGAAAGUUAGGGGAUCGAAGACGAUCAGAUACCGUCGUAGUCUUAACCAUAAACUAUGCCGACUAGGGAUCGGAUGAUGUUAUUUUUAAUGACUCAUUCGGCGCCUUACGGGAAAC
rnacentral:rRNA from 1 species